rnacentral:misc_RNA from 1 species
GUCCUUUGAUAAUGCCCAUGAACAGUUCUUGGCGAUUCUCUCAUUUCUAGCCAUGGUUCUUUCGAUCAGAGAAGCAAGAACAGAUAUUACUAAUGGGGUAUGGGAGUCGCUUUGGUAUGAAUAGGAGUAUAGAUCUGAUCGGAGCUUUCUCGGAGAAAUUGCAAGCGAAGAUGUAGCCAUUCGCGAAUCAAGUUGAAAGAGAGAGAGAGAGAGAGAGAGAGA